AUUGAAGCAUUUUAUUUUGUUAACUUCAGCAGAUGUCCAUAUUUCUUGUUUGCUGUAAAAGAGAACACCUCGGAGAUUUUCAUACCCAGUGUUAAACACAUUGAUGACCACUGGUGUAUCCAGCAGUUCUCUGGAUGACCCAUUUUGUUUCUUCAAUGUGUACCCAAUUUUAUCCGUAGUAGAGGUCAGAGGUUUGGUGGAUCCUAUCAUUUCAUAAACUUUCCCACUAUCUAUUGGCUUGGGACAAAAAAAAGCUUUUGAAUAUAUACUCUAAAUGAAAUUAAAUGAGAGACAGUGUUUACCUUGUUGGAUAAAAUGGCGGUUCCUGGUCACCCCAACUACCAAGUCAGCUGACAGAGGAAAUUACAUAUAAUGACUGAAAUCUACUGGAUCCAGUGCUAUCAAUCGGUCGAAACCUUCAUCGACCUAAAAAAAAUCACGGACUGAACGAAAAAUCAUGAUAAUCUUAGACUUAAAUUCCCUUAUAAGACGUUAUUUAUUAUUUCUUUUAUCUAUUAAGUAAACGUACUGAUGUACAUUAAACAACAAUUU
rnacentral:sRNA from 1 species